GCGUCGGUAGUGCAAGGGAUAGAGCACAAGCCCCUGGUCAGGGUGACAUGCGAGCUCGAGUCCCGCUCGACGCA